GUCCCCUUAGUAAAGUGGAUAUUACAAGACCCUCCUAAGGUUUAGUCACAGGUUCGAUCCCUGUAGGGGACGCCA
rnacentral:tRNA from 1 species